GACUGUCGCGACAACUGCAGCAACGCGUGCGCGGGGGAAGUCCGGUCGAAGUCCGGCGCUGGCCCGCAACGGUAGGUCGUCGAGGUGGCAGACACCCUGACGGCGAGCCCGAAUACCCGCCGCACGCGUGAUGUCCGU
rnacentral:ncRNA from 1 species